UCGGGCGGCACGUGGCCGGCGUUGCUGUUGUUGUUGCAGUGCUGCAGGCCCAGCGUCAGCGAGACGCUGCCGCCGAGGUCGCCCAUGUUGCCGCCGUACCCCACGAACCUGGCGUCGUCGCCGUGGUGCGCGAACGCGUCCUGCAGGAGGCUGCCGCCGCCCGGCCCGUGGUGGUUCAGGCUGAGCCCCCCUGGCGCGUACGUCGUGCCCAUGUCGCCGCCGCCGAGGCUGGACAGCGGACCGGCGUCCAUGCUGGCCACCGGCUCCGACUUGUAGGCGAUGAGCAGCUGGCUUGCGCCGGCAUGCGCCGACGUGCUCUGGAACUCGUCGCGGUCCUGGUCCUCGGAGCACGCCGCCUCGUCGACCUUGCCGU
rnacentral:lncRNA from 1 species